AGCAGCCGCGGUAAUUCCAGCUCCAAUAGCGUAUAUUAAAGUUGUUGCAGUUAAAAAGCUCGUAGUUGAAUUUCGGGAUUAAUAUGUUGGUCGUGCCUUGGUACGUACUGGCAUUAUUGGUUUCUACCUUCUGAAGAACCUCGAUGUCAUUAAUUUGGUGUCUUGGGGAAUCAGGACUGUUACUUUGAAAAAUUAGAGUGUUUAAAGCAGGCUCGCGCUUGAAUACAUUAGCAUGGAAUAAUGAAAUAGGACGUUUGAUUCUAUUUUGUUGGUUUCUAGGAUUGACGUAAUGAUUAAUAGGGAUAGUUGGGGGCAUUAGUAUUCAAUUGUCAGAGGUGAAAUUCUUGGAUUUAUUGAAGACUAACUACUGCGAAAGCAUUUGCCAAGGAUGUUUUCAUUAAUCAAGAACGAAAGUUAGGGGAUCGAAGACGAUCAGAUACCGUCGUAGUCUUAACCAUAAACUAUGCCGACUAGGGAUCGGAUGAUGUUAAUUUUUAAUGACUC
rnacentral:rRNA from 1 species